UACGGAAGGUGCAAGCAUUAAUCGGAAUUAUUGGGCGUAAAGGGCGCGUAGGCGGAUUUGCAAGUCUGAUGUGAAAUUCCAAAGCUCAACUUUGGAGCUGCAUUAGAAACUGCAAACCUUGAGGAGUGGCGGAGAAAAUGGAAUUCCACGUGUAGCGGUGAAAUGCGUAGAUAUGUGGAAGAACACCGGUGGCGAAAGCGGUUUUCUAGCUUAUUUCCUGACGCUGAGGCGCGAGAGCAAGGGGA
rnacentral:rRNA from 1 species